rnacentral:rRNA from 1 species
AAUCAACGCUGGCGGCGUAGCCUAACACAUGCAAGUCGAACGCGUUACCCGCAAGGGGUAACUGAGUGGCGAACGGGUGAGUAACACGUGGGUGACCUACCUUCGAAUGGGGGGAUAACGUCCCGAAAGGGACGCUAAUACCGCAUAACAUCCCGUCCUUGAACGAUGGAGAUCAAAGCCGGGGAUCGCAAGACCUGGCGUUUGAAGACGGGCCGCGUCCGAUUAGCUAGUUGGU